ACCCCCUGGCAAUGGGCAAAGAGACACCUUGCUGGUGGCGCUGCUCUUCUAUCAGUCAGGGGAGGGCAGAUGGCAGUCCUUUGUUCGUCCUAGCUUGACAUCUGGCUUGCUGGCCAAAGCUGACUUAGGCCUAGGACUCAUAA